AAAAGAAUCAGAACCAGACUCAGAUAUGCACAGAUUUUGGAAUUAUCAAUAGGAAAUUUAAAAUAACUGUGAUUAACGUGGUAAAGGCUCUAAUGGGAAAAAAAACAGGCAACAUGCAAAAUAGAUGCGUAAUAUAAGCAGAGGGAUAGUGACACCAAGAAACGAUCAAAAGGAAAUGCUGUCAAUAAAAAGCACUACAACAGAAAUGAAGAAUGCCUUUGAUGAGCUCACCAACAGACUGGACACAGCUGAGGGAAGAAUCAGUGAGCUGGAAGAUAUGUCCAUAGGAACUUCCCAAACUGAAAUCCAAAAAGAAUUUUUAAAACACAAAAGAAUUUUCAAGAACUGUGGGACAAUUUCAAAUGGUAUGACCAAUGCAUAACUGAAAUGCCAGGUGAAGGAGAGAGAAUGGAACAGAAGAAAUAUUGAAGUAAUAAUGGCCAAGCAUUUUGCAAAAUUAAUGAUAGAUACUAAACCACAGAUUCAGUAAGUUCAGAGAACACCAAACAGGACAAAUAUAAAAAAAAACAAAUCUACACUAGGUAUAUCAUAUUCAAGCUGCAGAAAACCAAAGACAAAGACAAAAUCUUGAAAGAAGCCAGAGGAGUUGGGGGAGAAUCUUUCCUAUAAAUGAACAGUAUAAGAAUUACCACAGAACUUUCAUCAGAACCCAUGCAAUCAAGAAGAGUGGAAGAAGAUAUUCCGAGUGUUGAAAGGAAAACACCACCAACCUAGAAUUCUGGAUCCAGGGAAGUCAUCCUUCAAAACUUAAGGAGAAAUAAAGACUUUCUAAGACAAACAAAAUUCAUCACCAGCAUAUCUGCCCUACAAGAAAUGUUUUUUUUAAAAAAAGUCCUUCAGAGAGAAGGAAAAUGAUAUAGAUCAGAAACUUGGAUCUAGAUAAAGAAAGAGCACCAAAGAAGGAAUAAAUGAAGCUCAGGCAAAUGAAGACAUUGCAAAUG
rnacentral:lncRNA from 10 species